AUUGAACGCUGGCGGCAGGCCUAACACAUGCAAGUCGAACGAGUGGCGGACGGGUGAGUAAUGUCUGGGAAACUGCCUGAUGGAGGGGGAUAACUACAGGAAACGGUAGCUAAUACCGCAUACCAUCAGAUGUGCCCAGAUGGUAUUAUCUUGUUGGUGGGGUAACGGCUCACCAAGGCCAGGAUCCCUAGCUGGUCUGAGUGGAUGACCAGCAACACUGGAACUGUGACACGUUCCAGACUCCUACGGACGGCAGCAGUGGGGAAUAUUGCACAAUGGGGGCAAGCCUGAUGCCGCCAUGCCGCGUGUAUGAGGAAGGCCUUCGGGUUGUAAAGUACUUUCAGCGGGGAGGCGUUACCCGCAGAAGAAGCACCGGCUAACUCCGUGCCAGCCGCCGCGGUAAUAC
rnacentral:rRNA from 1 species